UACGUAGGGGGCUAGCGUUAUCCGGAAUUACUGGGCGUAAAGGGUGCGUAGGUGGUUUCUUAAGUCAGAGGUGAAAGGCUACGGCUCAACCGUAGUAAGCCUUUGAAACUGGGGAACUUGAGUGCAGGAGAGGAGAGUGGAAUUCCAUGUGUAGCGGUGAAAUGCGUAGAUAUAUGGAGGAACACCAGUGGCGAAAGCGGCUCUCUGGCCUGUAACUGACACUGAGGCUCGAAAGCGUGGGGAGCAAACAGG
rnacentral:rRNA from 1 species